rnacentral:rRNA from 1 species
GAUGAACGCUGGCGGCGUGCUUAACACAUGCAAGUCGAACGAAGCACUUUAUUUGAUUUCCUUCGGGACUGAUUAUUUUGUGACUGAGUGGCGGACGGGUGAGUAACGCGUGGGUAACCUGCCUUGUACAGGGGGAUAACAGUUGGAAACGGCUGCUAAUACCGCAUAAGCGCCCAGCAUCGCAUGAUGCAGUGUGAAAAACUCCGGUGGUAUAAGAUGGACCCGCGUUGGAUUAGCUAGUUGGUGAGGUAACGGCCCACCAAGGCGACGAUCCAUAGCCGACCUGAGAGGGUGACCGGCCACAUUGGGACUGAGACACGGCCCAAACUCCUACGGGAGGCAGCAGUGGGGAAUAUUGCACAAUGGGCGAAAGCCUGAUGCAGCGACGCCGCGUGAGCGAAGAAGUAUUUCGGUAUGUAAAGCUCUAUCAGCAGGGAAGAUAAUGACGGUACCUGACGAAGAAGCACCGGCUAAAUACGUG